rnacentral:miRNA from 1 species
AAAUUCAUGUUCAAUCUAAACC